rnacentral:rRNA from 1 species
AUUAAGCCAUGCAUGUCUCAGUACAGACCGAUAAACGGUGAAACCGCGAAUGGCUCAUUAAAUCAGUCGUAAUUUACUGGAUCUCGAUCCAGUCUUACUUGGAUAACUGUGGUAAUUCUAGAGCUAAUACAUGCAACCGAGCUCCGACCCCGUUUCGGCGGGUAAAGGGCGCAUUUAUUAGACCAAAAACCGAUCCGCCCCCUCGACGGGGCGGUCGUGGUGACUCUGAAUAACUCAGCCGAGCGCUACGGUCCCUGGACCAGCGCCGUAUCCUCCGAGUGUCUGCCUUAUCAGCUCUAUCGUAAGCUAUGGGCUUACGAUGGCUGUAACGGGUAACGGGGAAUCAGGGUUCGAUUCCGGAGAGGGAGCCUGAGAAACGGCUACCACAUCUAAGGAAGGCAGCAGGCACGCAAAUUACCCACUCCCGGCUCGGGGAGGUAGUGACGAAAAAUACCGAUGCGGGACUCUUCCGAGGCCUCGCCAUCGGAUUGAGCUCAACCUAAAUCCUUGGACGAGAUUCCAUUGGAGGGCAAGUCUGGUGCCAGCAGCCGCGGUAAUUCCAGCUCCAAUAGCAUAUAUUAAAGUUGCUGCGGUUAAAAAGCUCAUAGUUGGAUCUGUCGUCCGAACUGGCGGCCCGCUUAGGGCUAGACCACCGUCGUUGGGCCUUAUAACCCUUCGGCUUGCGUCUGGCCUGGCGGUAAACUGUCCAGCUUCGGAUCGUAAAAUCCGCCGGCGAGCGAGGGAUGCCUAACCGUGUCCCGAGCGCCCCGGCAAGUUCACUUUGAAUAAAUUAGAGUGCUCAAAGCAGGCAAAAACUCACGCCUGGAUGGUGGUGCAUGGAAUGAUGGAACAGGACCUCGGUUCUGCCCUGUUUUGUUGGUCGGUUUCUUCGGAACCGAGGUAAUGAUUAAAAGAAACAGACGGGGGCAUUCGUAUUGCGACGCUAGAGGUGAAAUUCUUGGACCGUCGCAAGACGAACUACUGCGAAAGCAUUUGCCAAGAAUGUUUUCAUUAAUCAAGAACGAAAGUUAGAGGAUCGAAGGCGAUCAGAUACCGCCCUAGUUCUAACCGUAAACGAUGCUACCUGGCGAUCCGCCGGCGUCAUACCCACGACUCGGCGGGGAGCCUCCGGGAAACCAAAGGUUUCGAGUUCCGGGGGAAGUAUGGUUGCAAAGCUGAAACUUAAAGGAAUUGACGGAAGGGCACCACCAGGAGUGGAGCCUGCGGCUUAAUUUGACUCAACACGGGUAAACUUACCAGGUCCAGACACNCNGAAANGGAUUGACAGAUUAAGAGCUCUUUCUUGAUACGGUGGGUGGUGGUGCAUGGCCGUUUUUAGUUGGUGGAGCGAUCUGUCUGGUUGAUUCCGAUAACGAACGAGACUCUGCCCUACUAAAUAGUCGUCGAAUCGACUCCCGAGAAGGGGGCAGCGGGUGCCGUCUCUUCUUGGCUCGAAUAGAUCGUUCUCGUCGACGCUUCGUAUCGUUUCUCAGGUGCUCGUUCGCUCGGUUGCCUCUAUCUCUUUUCUAAGAUUUAGUGUGACGUCGACGAGUUUAAUGAGGGGCGUGCGGAUGUCGUUCGCGCGUGGAGCACUUUCGAUGUUCUAGAGAGUAACGUCCCCGUUUGCUUUCCCGACGAGGGGCGUUCGUCGCAAAUGUCUUCUUACAGGGAUCGGCGGCGUUUAGUCGCACGAAAUGGAGCAAAAACAGGUCUGUGAUGCCCUUAGAUGUUCUGGGCCGCACGCGCGCUACAAUGAAGGGCGCANCGUGCUAUCCCCCUCCGAAAGGANUGGGUAAUCCCUUGAAACCCCUUCCCGAUUGGGAUUGGNNNNNNAAAAUGUUUCCCAUGAACNANGAAUUCCUAGUAAGUGCGAGUCAUCAGCUCGCGCUGAUUAAGUCCCUGCCCUUUGUACACACCGCCCGUCGCUACUACUGAUUGAAUGAUUCAGUGAGGGCAUCGGACUGGCGCCCUCGGUAGCUCUCGAGUCGCUUUCGAGCACUCGUUCGGCACCUCGGGCUGACGGAAAGAUGUCCGAACUCGAUUAUUUAGAGGAAGUAAAAGUCGUAACAAGGUUUCCGU